GGUUGAGCCUUAUGGCUCCGAUACUGGGAGACGUGGUCGUAAGACUCCUCGAGAGUCAGACUCUCUUGAGGAGCGAGAAAGGAAACGGCUGCGGGACUUAUUUGCAGAACCAACAGACGAAGACUCCUUUGAGGGUUUUACCGAGGGAUUGGAGGAAGAGGUGGUUAGCUCAGAGGAGGAUGACAUGGAAUGGACUGGUGUGAGGGAGGAUUUGGGUCUCACCGGCAAUGAUAGUGUGGGAGGCGACUGGCGGGUUGCAGGAUCGGAUCCGUGGACGAGUUGGAGGGAUGGAACGGGAUCCACAGCUGGGGAUGCUGUGGGGCGUAGUCAAAGGUGUUUUAGCUCUGAUGAGGAUGAUGAUGAGGCACCUGGAAUUAGGGUAACAGCUGACAGCGAUGAGGAGUUGUAAACUGGCAUAAAAUGGGGUUUUGAAUCCAGGUCUAAUUGCGUUGGGCAAGGUAAUCUGGACGAACGCUUGGGCUCUUGUUGGGAAUUUCCUGAAGACGGGUGUGUUUCGCUUGCUGAAUACCUUGGACCUCCGUCGUCUUCUUGACGGACAUUAAUUGCCUACUCUGGAUUGACGCUGGACGGACUGACUGACUACGACCUCGGACUACCCCUUCUGUGGCUUUCGGUGGAAUUGGUGAAUUAAAGACCUCUGUACCUGGCUUUCGACCUCGGACCGGACUGGGACCCUGCUGACCGUUGCUUCCCUGAUUGAUGUGCUUGGAUCCGGAUCCCGUUUGUUGCACGGAGGAGUAACAACCUUAGUUACUCAUUUGCAGCUUUCGAGUAGCAGAGAGGAAUCUGCUGCCAGCUUUUUAUGUUUCUUUGAGUCUUUGUUUAUCAACUUUUGUUUGUUUAAAUUGCCGGGCUGAAGUAAGCAUUUUCUGUUUAACCCGGAUUAAACUCCCGUUUAAUCCGGUUUAUCUUUUGAACCGCUUUAGGUAUCAGCGGAGUCUUUUUUGUGUAUCUUUUACACUGAAGGCAAGUGUUUGCCUAGUCCUUUGUUUCAUACGGGCACUUUUUAGUUCUGUAACUUUAAUAAACUGUGUUGAACUUUA